ACCUAGCUGGCUGAGUCAGUAGAGCGUGUGACUCUUGAUCUUGGGGUUGUGGGUUCAAGCCCCACGUUGGGUG
rnacentral:tRNA from 1 species